GACGUAGGAGGCGAGCGUUGUCCGGAAUUACUGGGCGUAAAGGGCGCGUAGGCGGCCUUCUAAGUCGAACGUGAAAUCCCCGGGCUCAACCCGGGAACUGCGUCCGAUACUGGAAGGCUUGAAUCCGGGAGAGGGAUGUGGAAUUCCAGGUGUAGCGGUGAAAUGCGUAGAUAUCUGGAGGAACACCGGUGGCGAAGGCGACAUCCUGGACCGGUAUUGACGCUGAGGCGCGAAAGCCAGGGGAGCAAACGGG
rnacentral:rRNA from 1 species